rnacentral:rRNA from 1 species
GAUGAACGCUGGCGGCGUGCUUAACACAUGCAAGUCGAACGAAGAUGCCGGAGUGCUUGCACUUUGGCAGACUGAGUGGCGGACGGGUGAGUAACGCGUGGGUAACCUGCCUUAUACAGGGGGAUAACAGUUGGAAACGACUGCUAAUACCGCAUAAGCGCACGGUAUCGCAUGAUACAGUGUGAAAAACUCCGGUGGUAUAAGAUGGACCCGCGUCUGAUUAGCUUGUUGGUGAGGUAACGGCCACCAAGGCGACGAUCAGUAGCCGGCCUGAGAGGGUGAACGGCCACAUUGGGACUGAGACACGGCCCAAACUCCUACGGGAGCAGCAGUGGGGAAUAUUGCACAAUGGGGGAAACCCUGAUGCAGCGACGCCGCGUGAGUGAUGAAGUAUUUCGGUAUGUAAAACUCUAUCAGCAGGGAAGAUAAUGACGGUACCUGACUAAGAAGCACCGGCUAAAGUACGUGACC